rnacentral:rRNA from 1 species
UACGAAGGGUGCAAGCGUUACUCGGAAUUACUGGGCGUAAAGCGUGCGUAGGUGGUUCGUUAAGUCUGAUGUGAAAGCCCUGGGCUCAACCUGGGAAUGGCAUUGGAUACUGGCGACCUAGAGUGCGGUAGAGGGUGGCGGAAUUCCAGGUGUAGCGGUGAAAUGCGUAGAUAUCUGGAGGAACACCGGUGGCGAAGGCGGCAUCCUGGACCAACACUGACGCUGAGUGAGCGAAAGCCAGGGGAGCAAACGGG